rnacentral:rRNA from 1 species
CUGACGAGUGGCGAACGGGUGAGUAACACAUCGGAACGUGCCUAGUAUGGGGGAUAACUACUCGAAAGAGUAGCUAAUACCGCAUGAGAUCUAAGGAUGAAAGCAGGGGACCUUCGGGCCUUGCGCUACUAGAGCGGCUGAUGGCAGAUUAGGUAGUUGGUGGGAUAAAAGCUUACCAAGCCGACGAUCUGUAGCUGGUCUGAGAGGACGACCAGCCACACUGGGACUGAGACACGGCCCAG